rnacentral:tRNA from 1 species
GCAUUGGUGGUUCAGUGGUAGAACUUUCACCUUUCAUGCAGCGGACUUGGGUUUGAUUCCCAGCCAAUGCA